rnacentral:rRNA from 1 species
GACGAGUGGUCCUAGCGUUAGUCGGAAUCACUGGGCUUAAAGGGUGCGUAGGCAGGCCAGUAAGUGCCUUGUGAAAGCCCCCGGCUCAACCGGGGAACCGCAGGGCAUACUGCUGGUCUUGAGGAAGCUAGAGGCUGGUGGAACGAUAGGUGGAGCGGUGGAAUGCGUAGAGAUCUAUCGGAACGCCGAUGGUGAAGACAGCCAGCUGGGGCUUUCCUGACGCUGAGGCACGAAAGCGUGGGGAGCAAACAGG